rnacentral:tRNA from 1 species
GGGUGCUUAGCUCAGUGGGAGAGCGCUUCCUUCACACGGAAGAGGUCGUGGGUUCGAAACCCGCAGCACCCACCA